ensembl:lncRNA
ACGCGCAAGGGGGGGAGGGACUGCAUGCUAAUGGGCUCUCAGGAAUGUAAUGAACAUGUAUCCAAAUUCCUGUCAACUAUUGAUUAUGUAUUAGUUCGACCUAUAUCUAUAGCACGAUUUCUCCUGACGGUGUGCAAGUUAGGUGGAGCGAUCCCCCUUGCACCAGGGUGUACGCGCGUCACCAAUAAACACAUGCCUGCUCUAUAUCCUUACUGGCUAUAGGGUCUGAUUUCCGCACGUCAAGAGCUGCUUGUGUCCUGGGAGGAGAGCGAGCCGUUCCCUGUGUCUGUCAGAGGAGUGAAGGUGCCAAAAUGCCGGCCCAUCUGGGCAGGCAACACGCUGCCAAAGAGAGGGGAAGGAGAACUCCCGUCCUGCUUCUAGUAGUCCUUUCUGGUGAGUGUUCCCCACCCAGGGCCGUCCCAGCAGAGCCGGGGAGCGGGACUGUCCCACACAGCGUGUCCCUGCUGGGUCUGGAGGAGGAAAACGGG